rnacentral:piRNA from 1 species
UUCUCUUUGGUGAACCACUGCUGUGAC